CUCCUACGGGAGGCAGCAGUGGGGAAUCUUGCGCAAUGGGCGAAAGCCUGACGCAGCGACGCCGCGUGAGUGAUGAAGGCCUUCGGGUUGUAAAGCUCUGUGGGGAGAGAAGAAUUAGUGCGGGCUAAUACUCCGCAUGAUGACGGUAUCUCCUUAGCAAGCACCGGCUAACUCUGUGCCAGCAGCCGCGGUAAGACAGAGGGUGCAAACGUUGUUCGGAAUUACUGGGCGUAAAGCGUGUGUAGGCGGCCAUGUAAGUUGGAUGUGAAAGCCCCGGGCUCAACCCGGGAAGUGCAUUCAAAACUGCGUGGCUUGAGUACUGGAGAGGUUGGUAGAAUUCUCGGUGUAGAGGUGAAAUUCGUAGAUAUCGAGAGGAAUACCGGUGGCGAAGGCGGCCAACUGGACAGAUACUGACGCUGAGACACGAAAGCGUGGGGAGCAAACAGGAUUAGAUACCCUGGUAGUCCACGCCGUAAACGAUGGGUGCUAGGUGUCACUGGCAUUGACUCCGGUGGUGCCGUAGCUAACGCAUUAAGCACCCCGCCUGGGAAGUACGGCCGCAAGGCUAAAACUCAAAGGAAUUGACGG
rnacentral:rRNA from 1 species